rnacentral:lncRNA from 1 species
AUAAAAUUGGUUAUUACUACCAUGAAAUUUCUGUGAUGCUAUUAACUGUUUUUGCUCUUUUUUAGAAAAUUUAGAAAAAUAAAUUGAAAUUUCGUGCCACUACUGACAUGUCACAUGUUAUUGUAUGUAAAGAUUAAAUUUUUGUUAUGAGAACUACAGUUCUUAUGAAAGAAAAAGAUUCACUAAAAGCCUACUACUACUACUACUCUGGUAAAUCACAUCAGCUUUAUCAGAUCUAAAUUGGAGCAGCUACAGACUAUAUUGCUCCCAGCACCCAGGACCACUCUGAGAGGUCCAUUAACAAAUGUUGCAGUAAUAAUGGUAUGGAAUAGCCCUCUUUCAAAUGGAGGGCUCAUCCAUACAGGGGUGCUGGGAGGCACCAAGUAAA